rnacentral:rRNA from 1 species
AUGCGCAAAAUCCCGCAAGGGAUGUAUUUAUUAGAUCCAAAACCAAUGCAGCUUCGGCUGGUUGUUGGUGAAUCAUAAUAACUGCUCGGACCGCAUGGACUUGUUCCGGCGGUAGGUCAUUCAAAUUUCUGCCCCAUCAGCUUUCGAUUGUAGUGUAGUGGACUACAAUGGCGGUAACGGGUGACGGAGAAUUAGGGUUCGAUUCCGGAGAGGGAGCCUGAGAAAUGGCUACCACAUCUAAGGAAGGCAGCAGGCGCGCAAAUUACCCAAUUCUCAAUGAGAGAGGUAGUGAAGAUAAAUAACAACACUGGUCCACAACGUGGUCUGGUGAUUGGAAUGAGAACAAUUUAAAUCCCUUAGCGAGGAUCCAUUGGAGGGCAAGUCUGGUGCCAGCAGCCGCGGUAAAACCAGCUCCAAUAGCGUAUAUUAAAGUUGUUGCAGUUAAAAAGCUCGUAGUUGGAUAUCUGGUACGAAUGCCUGGCCCGCCUCUCACGAGUGUGUGUGCCGGUGCAAUCGUGCCAUCCUUCUGAGAAGUGCUACUGCGAUUAAGUUCGCGGAAGUGCGACUCGGAUCUUUUACUUUGAAAAAAUUAGAGUGUUCAAAGCAGGCGUUUGCUUGAAUACAUUAGCAUGGAAUAAUAAAAUAGGACUCCGUUCCUAUUUUGUUGGCUUAUAGGUCGGAGUAAUGAUUAAAAGGGACAGUUGGGGGUGCUUGUAUUGAGCGGCCAGAGGUGAAAUUCUUAGAUUCGCUCAAGACAAACUUAUGCGAAAGCAUUCACCAAGGAUGUCUUCUUUAAUCAAGAACGAAAGUUGGGGGAUCGAAGACGAUCAGAUACCGUCGUAGUCUCAACCAUAAACUAUGCCAACUAAGGAUCAGCGGACGUUUUCGGACUCCGUUGGCACUUUAUGAGAAAUCAAAGUCAUUGGGUUCUGGGGGGAGUCUGGUCGCAAGGCUGAAACUUAAAGGAAUUGACGGAAGGGCACCACAACGGCGUGGAGCCUGCGGCUUAAUUUGACACAACACGGGGAAAUUUACCAGGUCCGGACAUAGUAAGGAUUGACAGAUUGCAGAUCUUUCUUGAUUCUAUGGAUGGUGGUGCAUGGCCGUUCUAGUUGGUGGAGUGAUUUGUCUGGUUAAUUCCGUUAACGAACGAGACCUCAGCCUACUAAAUAGUCAGGAUAACAG